UACGUAGGGUGCGAGCGUUAAUCGGAAUUACUGGGCGUAAAGCGUGCGCAGGCGGUUUUGUAAGCCAGGUGUGAAAUCCCCGGGCUCAACCUGGGAAUGGCAUUUGGGACUGCAAGGCUGGAGUGUGGCAGAGGAGACUGGAAUUCCUGGUGUAGCAGUGAAAUGCGUAGAUAUCAGGAGGAAUACCGAUGGCGAAGGCAGGUCUCUGGGCUGAACACUGACGCUCAUGCACGAAAGCGUGGGAUCAAAACAGG
rnacentral:rRNA from 1 species